ACAAAAUAGCUGGAUUUGAGGAGUUGAAGUUGGAGGAAAUUGAACAACUAAAAUUUAGUUUUGGGACUGGGCAAGAACCUAGUUCUCUGCCAGAGGUGCCAAUAAAUAUGGAAAAUCAUACUGAGAUGGAAGAGGCAUAUGAUGCCUCAGUUAAGUUUGAACCAGAGAUUGUAGAUACAGUUGGUGGACAGCAACUUACAACUGUUUGUGUAUGGUGUGGGGUGGAGUUCAGCCAUGAGGCUGUAGAUUCUGAAGUGCAGUCGGAUUCAGUUGGUUAUAUGUGUCCGAUCUGCAAGGCAAGAAUCUCUGGGCAGCUAAACGUGUUGGGUGAUGGUUGCUCGUGAAUUCUUUAGGUGUGGGGUAAUUUCAAUUCCUUUAGAGCAGUCUUGCUAAUUAGGAGUCUUUUUUUUCCCCCAUUUUUCUGUGUUGUUUAUUUUAACCAUGAAAAAAGGAAUAUAGUUGUUUUAGUGUGCCUUCCGUAAAUAUAAGUGAUUGUGAUGCAAAAUAUUAUAAAUGUGAUAUAUAAUAAAAAUUAUUACUUGUAUCUUUUGACAUAUGAUCCUUAUCAAAAUAAAAAAAUUUUUGGUAGAGAUAAAUUGAUAAUAGAUAUUGAGUACUGCUAUUUGAUAUUCUGCAUGCGGUGAUGCAAAAUGUGAAAAUAGAUGGAUCUGCUGAUGUGUAAGAGUAACUUUAAAUAUAUAUUAAAAGUUUAUAUAAUUCUGUUGACUUUUAAAUGGCACUGUUAAAGGUCAUGUAGUUUAGACUUGAUACAUGUAGGCGACUGCAAAUCGUUAGGUGUUGUGUGCUCCUGAUGUUCUAGGAGUGUGAGUGCAUAAUCUUUUGAUAUGUAGAUAUGGAAAAUACAGAGUGAUGUGGUAAUGGUAGCUAUUAAAGCAGCAUAGCCGCAUUCCUAGGUAUUGAAAAAAACUGAUACUGGUGUUUUUUUGUUGUAAUUGCUUAUUUCUGUUUCCUGCUUGGCAAUAAGAUUUAUUUAUUUAUAGUUAUGUUUUGCCGUUGAAUGUUGAUAGAACAUUUAGAGAUUGGAAUAAACUAAUUGAAAAGUUUCCCUAGUGUAUGACAUGAUUGUAGCAAAUAUACAAUUAUGGAAAUCACCUCUUUGAGUUGCAUUCUCCUCUUUGAGUUGCAUUCUCCUCAUCUGUUGUGUCUGUGUCACAUAGGUUACUACUGUUCUCUUGAUGAUGCAGUGAAUCCAUGAUCAUCGUUUAAGCUAAUUCUGUCUUACAGAAAACAAUCCAAUGAAAUUUAGGUUUCUUAUCUCAUACAAAUGGAGUUCAAGCAGGCUUUGGUUAUCAAGUCUUGUGUGGUAAACUGACUUUUUGUGCUGUGCGCUAUUGUAAAAUAUAAUCAAAUGGCAAAAGAGCAAGAAAAACAAAAGACACAAGUUUACCAAAUGAAUACUGAGACAUUCCAAUCACAGUAUAUCUGGUUUCUUUGAGAUUCAAUUUCAUAUUAACCGCGAUCCAGAACUUUGAAGAACAUAUCCCAUCUUUUGUUUUGAAGUCUUUGACAAUGAUAAUGUUACAAGUCUUGUGUCAAACACAAUGAAUGCUGCCAAUUCUAGCCUAACCAUGCACAUGCCAUCAUGAACGCCAUUGGUAUUUCUUUUACUCAUUUAUUUGUCUGUUUUUAUAAAUAAAUUUUGUCCUAUUUUAGGGUGGUUGAUUGUUGUGCUGACUGUUAAUAUGUUAUGCCCAUUUUAUGUUGGCAGCUGAAGCUGGAUGGAAGAUGUUUAUGGUGAAGUAUUGCUGAAGUUUUGAAACAUGAAGUUGAUCACUAUAUCUUAAUGUAUGAAUGUGUGUGUAUGUUCUCGCUGGAGCCUGGAGGUUACCUCUCAAUCGUUAGAUUUGAUGGAUAUUUCAUCCUUGUAUCUGUAAAGACUGACAAUGAGGGCUAGUUGGAUGUAAAAGUUAUGUAUCAUAAUAUGUUUUUCAUUCUUUAUUUAGCAGUUGCUUUUGUUGUGUUGUGUGCAAAUGGUAGUUGGAUAAUUAACAUUGAGGCGAGUACUGGACAAGGAGUUCUCUUUCGCCUUGCUUCCUCUGAAGUCGCUAUUGCGCUUCAACAAUCAUCAUGUGGUGGUCAUUCGGUUCAGGCGGUAGCUUGAUCUUUUUAAGAAAGCAAGAUAUUGCACCGUGGGAUCCAAACAGGUUUUUCUUAAAAAGUUUGUGACGAGAUUCUGAUGAUAAUGUUGUUCCACAUGUGCGGAGACGAAGAUGAAGUGGAAUCAACAGGCCAAAGUCAGUAAAAGCAAUUAAGCUGAUCUGUCUUCGUCGGCCAUUGAAUAAAGGGUAGGGAAUUCGAUUCUCGCAAUAAUGGUGUGGAAGAAUAAAGGGACGAAUCAAAAAAAAAGGGAGGAGGAGAAAAGGUGUAGAAGAAAGGACAGAGGGACAGCAAGAACGUGGCAGAAGAGUGAGAGUUUAGGUAGGCACCAGGAAUCUACAAUGCUCAUACAUUCUAUGUACUCGAAGAUUUUUCUUGGAUGUUAUUGAUAGACAUGUUUUCUGGCAGUGAUACCAUUAUCAAUGUCUAAUUAGACAAAAUAGUUUGCUCUGGAAAUUUCAUUAAAAACUUGUCAACCAAAUCAUUCCAAAUAUUCUUGCCCAUUUGUUCAGACAAGCUCUAUUGAUAUGUUCCAUUAAUCUUUUCAGUAUACCUCUUCUAUAUCCUCUAAUUGCAAGGUCCAACCUGAGGGCCUGGAAAUAUUUUGACUUAUGAUAGGAACUAGAAUAAUCAAAUGCCGCUCUUGUCAUCAACGUUCAUGGGUAGCAACAACUGCGGAAACAUACCAAUGCGUAGGCUGUAAAAGCGUGAGUUCACUUCCAGGCGAGGAACAGUCGAGCCGAGUUUUCCUGAUUAGAGACCGCAUCCAAUAACAACAUUUCACGAGCAACUGCUAAUUUGAAAGAGGAAAUUCUGCCCCGUAGCUUGGCCUCCUCCGAGAGGCCAACAAGAAAGCGUGCACUUCUUUGUGGAGUGAGUUACAAGAAGAAAUACAAGCUGAAGGGAACUGUAAAUGAUGUGAAGAACAUGAGAGAUUUGCUGAUCACUGACUUCAGAUUUCCUGAAGAGUGUAUUCGACAACUUACAGAUGAGGAAACAAACCCUGAACUAAAACCAACGAGGAAGAACAUUGAGAAAGCCUUGCAGUGGCUUGUAGAGGGCUGCCGUUCUGGCGACUCAUUGGUGUUUUACUUUGCUGGACAUGGAGCACAAAAGAAUGACAACGACAGGGAUGAAAUUGAUGGACUUGAUGAAACAAUUUGUCCAACUGAUUUCCAAGUGAAGGGGAUGAUCGUUGAUGAUUAUAUCAAUUCUGUAAUUGUUAGGCCACUGGUGGCAGGCGUCACUCUUCAUGCCAUUGUUGAUGCUUGUCAUAGUGCAACAAUGCUUGAUCUGCCAUAUGUGUGCAAUGCAAAAGAGUAAGUCAUCAUUAAUUGUCCUGGAUAUUAAGUAUUAUAGCAAUUAGCAAUAACUAUGUUUCCCUGUCUCUGGAUUUAUUUGUAUAGGAAGAGGUGGGUGGAUAAUAAUCCUCCAUCAGCGGACUAUAAGGGCACAAGUGGUGGACUGGCCAUUUGUAUUAGUGCCUGUAGAGACGAUCAAGAUGUUGUUGAUUCUUCGACUUUAUGUGGAAGGGCAACCCUGACCCAUAAUUUGAUCCAAGAGAUGAAGAAAAACCCUAGAUUGACAUAUGGUGCUCUAAUAACUUCUGUACAGAAUAAGAUUGACAAUGCUAUUGAAGCACGAGGCAUCAAAACGUGGUUUCUAAGGAAAUUCUUUAGGACUUCUUUCUCACAGGAAGUCCAAAUAUCAUCUUCGGAGAAGUUUGACAUUUACCAGAAACAAUUCAAGUUGUAAUUUAUCAAACAUUUUUUGGAUUGAGCAGUAUUGUUUGUAUUAAUUUCAUUAUCAUGGGAUUCAUUAGUCUCUUGCUGUGGUUAUGAUCUACAAGUGAAGCUUUUUUAUUUGAAUAGGAAAUUGGGGGUGUGAGACUCUCAACCUUGUUUUGCUAGAUGAGUGAUAUGCUUUUAACCACUGAAUUAAAUCAGGUUAGGCAAAACUUAUGAUGGAACAUUUCUUUCUCCUCAUAAUAUAUGGGACUCACUCUCCU
rnacentral:misc_RNA from 1 species